GUGCGAUAACUAGUGUGAAUUGCAUAUUCAGUGAAUCAUCGAGUCUUUGAACGCAACUUGCGCUCAAUGGUAUUCCAUUGAGCACGCCUGUUUCAGUAUCAAAAACACCCCACAUUCACAAUUUUAUUGUUGAAUGGAAUUGAGAAUUUCGGCCUUUUGGCUGAAUUCUUUAAAAUUAUUAGGCCUGAACUAUUGUUCUUUCUGCCUGAACAUUUUUUUAAUAUAAAGGAAUGCUCUAGCAAAAAAGACUGUCUCUGGGGCCUCCCAAAUAAAUCAUUCUUAAAUUUGAUCUGAAAUCAGGCGGGAUUACCCGCUGAACUUAA
rnacentral:misc_RNA from 1 species